AUUGAACGCUGGCGGCAGGCCUAACACAUGCAAGUCGAGCGGUAGAGAGAAGCUUGCUUCUCUUGAGAGCGGCGGACGGGUGAGUAAUGCCUAGGAAUCUGCCUGGUAGUGGGGGAUAACGUUCGGAAACGGACGCUAAUACCGCAUACGUCCUACGGGAGAAAGCAGGGGACCUUCGGGCCUUGCGCUAUCAGAUGAGCCUAGGUGGGAUUAGCUAGUUGGUGAGGUAAUGGCUCACCAAGGCGACGAUCCGUAACUGGUCUGAGAGGAUGAUCAGGCACACUGGAACUGAGACACGGUCCAGACUCCUACGGGAGGCAGCAGUGGGGAAUAUUGGACAAUGGGCGAAAGCCUGAUCCAGCCAUGCCGCGUGUAUGAAGAAGGUCUUCGGAUUGUAAAGCACUUUAAGUUGGGAGGAAGGGUUGUAGAUUAAUACUCUGCAAUUUUGACGUUACCGACAGAAUAAGCACCGGCUAACUCUGUGCCAGCCGCCGCGGUAA
rnacentral:rRNA from 1 species